ensembl:lncRNA
GAAAAGGAUCUGCAGUUGUUGGUGAGCGCUUGGCUGAGCAUGAGCCAGCAGCAUGCUGAGGUGGCCAAGAAAGCCAAUGGCAUCCUGGCUUGUGUCAGAAAUAGUGUUCCCAGCAGGAGCAGAAUGAAUACGUUGUCUGAAGACAAGCAGCUUUGGUCUCUAUGAAGGAACAAAGAAUGACAGUCCCUUGCAUUACAGGAAAGCUUUCAGCUGCAAUUCUGUCAAAAUCAGUUCAGGCUGCAUUACCUAGUCAGAUAUCCAUCUACCCAAAGCUUUGAGGUAAACCAGCUAUGUGUUUGUUGCUGUCUGAUCUAACUGACCUUUCAGUGCACAGUAGACAGACAUCCUCAGUCAGUUGUGGAAGUUUUCAGAUUCAGCCAUGAUCUGUGUAUGUUUGUAUCUCACAAGCAGACUAUUCAAUAACUUCCUAAGAGGCUUAUCACUGUGGAAGUGAAGCAUGAAUACACCGUGGCAGAGACUUGACAAACUCCAGAAUUGUCUCCAACUGCAGGAAGGCUGAACUUUAUAUGAACAGCCAACAACCUCACAGGAACCAACUACAACUACACCUCGCUGCUCUUGAAAGGCUCUACUGAAAGUCUAGGGAUAACAAGAAAUUCCGAAUGAG